UACGAAGGGGGCUAACGUUGUUCGGAUUUACUGGGCGUAAAGCGCACGUAGGCGGAUUAGCAAGUUAGGGGUGAAAUUCCCGGAGCUCAACUCCGGAACUGCCUUUAAAACUGCUAGUCUAGAGAUCGGGAGAGGUGUAUGGAACUCCUAGUGUAGAGGUGGAAUUCGUAGAUAUUAGGAAGAACACCAGUGGCGAAGGCGAUACACUGGCCCGAUACUGACGCUGGAGGUGACGAAAGCGUGGGGAGCAAACAGGAUUAGAUACCCCGGUAGUCC
rnacentral:rRNA from 1 species